AAUAAUAUAGUAUAAAUAGUACAAUUGAUUUCCAAUCAUAAGGUAGAAAUAUUUAUUUUUU
rnacentral:tRNA from 1 species